CAGUCGCCGCGGUAAUACGAAGGGUGCAAGCGUUAAUCGGAAUUACUGGGCGUAAAGCGUGCGUAGGCGGUUUGUUAAGUCUGUUGUGAAAUCCCCGGGCUCAACCUGGGAAUGGCAAUGGAUACUGGCAAGCUAGAGUGUGUCAGAGGAUGGUGGAAUUCCCGGUGUAGCGGUGAAAUGCGUAGAGAUCGGGAGGAACAUCAGUGGCGAAGGCGGCCAUCUGGGACAACACUGACGCUGAGGCACGAAAGCGUGGGGAGCAAACAGGAUUAGAUACCCCCGUAGUCCCUGUCUCUAUACC
rnacentral:rRNA from 1 species